GUGUUUUGCCAUUUCGUUGUGCCUGGGCGGUCUGAAUUAUGUUGUUAUACGCGUUUCAUAUUUCCAGACUGCAACGUGCUUACGUGGAAUAGCACCGGGAUCAAGGGAAACGAUGUAGCCUCCGUUGGUUUCCAGACUGCAAUGUACUUGUGAAGAAAGGCCGUUGGAAUCAAUGGAAAGGAUGCGGUCUUCGUUGGGUGCAAGUACCACUGUUUAGGGUUAGUCUUAGGCAACAGCUGUUUUGAAACGCCGAUAAAGCCCUGUAGGUUAUGGUGUCUGGCAUCAGGAGGAGCUUGGUAGACGAAAUGCAGAUAACAGAUGAGCGUGGAAGUCUAUCUCCGAGAGGCGAGUUUUCUGAUCGCACUUGUUUGUCUCUCCCAUAUAGAUACUUAUAAACGGUCACUCCGUCGUUCGUUCUGCUAGGUUGAAUAUGCAGGUAAUUGGUUAGCUCGUUACUCGAGCUUUGUGUCAUGUACGCACAUAGAUGUGAACACUGCCUCAUUGCUUGCUUUGAGAAAAAUAAACGUUUCGAAA